GGCUGGUCUGAGUGCAAUGGUUUUUCUAACUAAUUGAUCACAACCAAUUACAGAUUUCCUUGUUCCUUCCAUACUCCCACUGCUUCACUUGACUAGCCUAUA
rnacentral:Y_RNA from 1 species